rnacentral:tRNA from 1 species
AAGGUCUUAGCUUAAUUAAAGUAUCUGGGUUGCAUUCAGGUAAUGUAGGAUAGAGUCCUGCAGGUCUUA